UCCACAUUGGGAUUGAAAUUAAAAAAUGAAGCCUCUGGAUUGUGUUGCGCCAGCGGCCAAGUCAAAUUGACGCCAUUGGUACCGCCACCAGAGCCACUACAUUCAUUGGUUCAUUUUUUGACUCAUAUCCAGCAGUACAAUAAUUGCUUUCAAAUGACAUCAUUUGGGGCAACAAAAAUUGUCAAACGUUUUUUUUUAGUUUUAAAACCAUGUAGCUGGUGCAAAAUAUGUCGAGUCAGUGAUGUGUUUAUUUUGUAAACAAUAAAUCAAAUACAUAAUAAUAGUCUAUAAUCCGAAGACUUAAUCAGCAACAUUUAUAACAUGUUGUAUUUUAUAGUGGCAUGAGCAAGAUGUUCUUGGUAAAGCCUACUACCUAAAGCUGCCGUGGAAGGCUGUUUAAUGGCGAGAUUCAGGGAUUCAAAUAUAUCAUCAAACAGGUUCCUUAUUGCCAGUGCCUGUUGAAGACUAUACAUUUUUGCAAAUAUAUUUUAUGGACAAUUCAGCAAGAGAAGUCGAUCAGCGUUGCGCACACAACAACUCAGUAAAGAGAUCCAUUGUGAUGAACAACUUCAAACAUUUUUCCUUCAACACAAUGAAUUAGUUGCAUUAGACAUUCACAAAUGCAUUAGACCGCAUGCCAUCAGAUAAUCACAAAAUUGUCAUCAGAGCCGAUAAGGCGCCUCCAGGACAGUGAAAUGAUUGAAUCCUAUGAAAUAAACACUAUUAUGAAAAUAUA